CUGCCUCCUUCCCCUCAGCCUUGCAAUAAUGGCUGCUCCAGGAAUCCUCCUUGGGGCUUUGCCAUUUCACCUCAACUUGUAACUUCUGGCUUGGCAAGGCUUUUUUCCCCCCACGCGCGUUUCCACAGAGCUCCGCUUCUCCCUACACUUUGCAAGUUGGCAGCCUCGCCUUGCAAUUUUGGAUGUUGCCACUUUUUCGAAUGGAAGCUGCACUGUUUGUUGCUGAAAUGUUUAAAGGUGCAGUCUUCCAUGAAACGUGCCUGGUGGUAACACUUUAAGGAAUAACAACAGACCACUUAAAGGCUCAGGAGAGGUGAACGGCUCCUUCUUCCUGUGCACUGCAGUUUUCUGGAGGAUCUAAGGAAAGAAGGCAAAACUACUCAGCAGUCUUUUAAAAAAUUAGUAUUUAAAGAAGAGUCUCAUCGUUAGCUGUGGAAGCUUAAAAGUUCCCUCCAGCAGUGUGCUGCUGCUAAAUUUCUGCAGCAGCUUGAUAAUGCAGUACAUGCUAGCACCUUUCUUGUCAGCCAGGGCUUCUGUAGAUUUAAAUAGCUGCAUGAUAAGGAAACAAUUGAGCAGGUGAAAGAAAGGCUGUCCUUGGAUGCAUGUCUACACCAGGGAAGUCUUCACAAUGAUGAAAAGGACCAUGCAGAGAACCUGCCAGAAAGAGAGGUGACAAGCUUGGUUCUUAAGUGCUACCAGUUGGGGUCAAAAUAAACAUAACACAUGGUAAAUUCAAUGGAAUAGUUCUCUCUUGUUAUCUAAUAUAUAGGAUGUUUGUUUGCAUUCUACUGUUCCAUGUAUUUUUUUAAUCUGGAGUUAUAUAAAGGGAGUAACUAAUUUCCUUAGCAUAACAAAUUCAGAAGUAACCAGAUUUUUUUUCACUAUAGAAAUUAAUUACUAACUUGUCUGCUUACAUGGUUUAUUGUAGCUCAACUGUGUUUUUAACAUAACAUUGCAAGCAGUUUAUAGGAAUUGGCAUAAUCUAAUAUAGUACUUUCAAGUGUGUAAACAAUAUUGUAUUCUGUUAGCUGGAAAGCCACAACAUGCAAUAAUAUCCACAAUUUGUCCACUGAUUUACUGCUGAGUUUUGCAAUUAAAUGGCUAAAAAUGUUUGAAAUAAAUAUUGUUUGCAUGUCUGCAUUGGAUUCAGAAAUGCUACAAACGAAAAAGAAAUAUUCCUGAAAGAUUAAGCAAUGUGACAUAAAUAUAUAUGAAAUUUGAAGCAAAAUGUAUGUUAACAGUUUGCAGGAUGAAACAAUAAUAUGUCUUGUACUACUAUAUUUUCAGCAGACAAGGUGUCUGUAAAACAGUUUAUAAAACUUAUGUAAAGCCUAGAUUCUGAAGAAUUAAGAUGAUCAGCAAAUAUAUGAGAAUAGUAAUUGUUUUGUAUAGCUUUUAAUAUGUGUAGGAUUUAGAUGGGUGUUUGUGAAUUAGGAAUCCCACCCCACUAAUAUUUUCAUAGGUGCUGCAUAUACUCCAGAUGCCUGGGUUAAUCUCACUUAAAGAUUUUGAUUAUCAUUUGAAUAAAAUAAAAGUUUCGCAAAGGGGGUAGAUUAUAUAAACUGUAGUCCUAUUCUUGUUUAACUGCGAGUAAGUCUCAUUGAUUUCAAUGGAUUUAAUUCAAAGUAUGAAAUCGCCCAGUAGUUAAUGAUUAUUAAAUUAUUUUGAUAUUCCAUACAUCAUUCAGCAUCAUAAGUAGCUGAUGGAGAGUCUCACUACCAGUCUUUAAAAAAUGGGAGUGGAUACCAUUGAUUGGUUUUAUGUGGGUAAUUUUAGGACUGCAGCUGUGAAAUAUAAUUAUGUGCACUGUGUUUAGUGAGGCUUAUUCCCAAGUAUGUGUGUGUUGGGGUUUCAGCCUAAAUAUUUGUUUAAUAACUUGCUAGGAUUUGUUCUAGAUUCAUAAACUACUUUUAGUGUUUGCA